rnacentral:rRNA from 1 species
GAAUCCCGUAUGUGGCACGGACUCCCGUUACUCUGUGAUACACUCUCAACGAGUCGAGUCGUUUGGGAAUGCAGCUCCAAAUGGGUGGUAAAUGCCAUCUAAAGCUAAAUAUUGGCGAGAGACCGAUAGCAAACAAGUACCGUGAGGGAAAGAUGAAAAGCACUUUGGAAAGAGAGUGAAACAGUACGUGAAAUUGUUGAAAGGGAAACGCUUGAAGUCAGUCAUGCCCUUUGGGAUUCAGCCUUGCUUCUGCUUGGUUUACUUCUCUUUGGGUGGGUCAACAUCAGUUUGGGUCGGAGGAGAAAGACUUGGGGAAGGUGGCAGCAUUCGUGCUGUGUUAUAGCCCCUUGUUGUAUACUUCGAUUUGGACUGAGGACCGCAGCACGCCUUUGGCCGGGGCUCGCCCACGUACGUGCUUAGGAUGUUGGCAUAAUGGCUUUAAGCGACCCGUCUUGAAACACGGACCAAGGAGUCUAACAUGCCCGCGAGUGUUCGGGUGGAAAACCCGUGCGCGCAAUGAAAGUGAAAGUUGGGACCUCUGUCGCGGAGGGCACCGACGCCCGGACCAGAGCUUCUGCGACGGAUCUGCGGUGGAGCGUGUAUGUUAGGACCCGAAAGAUGGUGAACUAUGCCUGAAUAGGGUGAAGCCAGAGGAAACUCUGGUGGAGGCUCGUAGCGAUUCUGACGUGCAAAUCGAUCGUCAAAUUUGGGUAUAGGGGCGAAAGACUAAUCGAACCAUCUAGUAGCUGGUUCCUGCC